GAUGAAGAACGUAGUGAAAUGCGAUAACUAGUGUGAAUUGCAGAAUUCCGUGAAUCAUCGAGUCUUUGAACGCACAUUGCGCCCCCUGGUAUUCCGGGGGGCAUGCCUGUCCGUGCGUCAUUGCUGCCCAUCAAGCACGGCUUGUGUGUUGGGUCGUCGUCCCCUCUCCGGGGGGGACGGGCCCCAAAGGCAGCGGCGGCACCGCGUCCGAUCCUCGAGCGUAUGGGGCUUUGUCACCCGCUCUGUAGGCCCGGCCGGCGCUUGCCGAACGCAAAUCAAUCUUUUUCCAGGUUGACCUCGGAUCAGGUAGGGAUACCCGCUGAACUUAAGCAUAUCAAUAAGCGGAGGA
rnacentral:misc_RNA from 1 species